rnacentral:rRNA from 1 species
GGACCCGCACAAGCGGUGGAGCAUGUGGUUUAAUUCGACGAUAAACGAAGAACCUCACCAAGGUUUGACAUCUAGCUGCAUGUCCUGGAAACAGGAAGGCCUUCGAGGGUGCUAGACAGAUGCUGCAUGGUUGCCGUCAGUUCGUGUCGUGAGAUGUACCGUUAAGUCGGAAAACGAACGCAACCCUUAUUUCAUGUUUUAUAUGUCAUGAAAGACUGCCCGUUUUAAAUGGGAGGAAGGUGGGGAUGACGUCAAAUCAGCAUGGUUCUUACACCUUGGGCUACACACGUGCUACAAUGGGAAAUACAAAGGGACGCCAAAUCGUAAGAUGGAGCAAAUCCCUAAAAAUUUUCCUCAGUUCGGAUUGAGGUCUGCAACUGACCUCAUGAAGUUGGAAUCGCUAGUAAUCGUAGGUCAGCUAUACUACGGUGAAUACGUUCUCGGGUCUU